GGCAGUGGCGCGGGGGUCACAGCUGGCGCGGUGCGGACUUCAGAAGUGAAACGCCGUAGCGCCGAUGGUAGUGUGGGGUCUCCCCAUGCGAGAGUAGGGAACUGCCA
rnacentral:rRNA from 1 species